AGGGCGCGGGGGGGGAUAAUACAUGCAAGUCGAGCGGACAGAAGGGAGCUUGCUCCCGGAUGUUAGCGGCGGACGGGUGAGUAACACGUGGGUAACCUGCCUGUAAGACUGGGAUAACUCCGGGAAACCGGAGCUAAUACCGGAUAGUUCCUUGAACCGCAUGGUUCAAGGAUGAAAGACGGUUUCGGCUGUCACUUACAGAUGGACCCGCGGCGCAUUAGCUAGUUGGUGGGGUAAUGGCUCACCAAGGCGACGAUGCGUAGCCGACCUGAGAGGGUGAUCGGCCACACUGGGACUGAGACACGGCCCAGACUCCUACGGGAGGCAGCAGUAGGGAAUCUUCCGCAAUGGACGAAAGUCUGACGGAGCAACGCCGCGUGAGUGAUGAAGGUUUUCGGAUCGUAAAGCUCUGUUGUUAGGGAAGAACAAGUGCGAGAGUAACUGCUCGCACCUUUGACGGUACCUAAACCAGAAAGCCACGGCUAACUACGUGCCAGCAGCCGCAGGA
rnacentral:rRNA from 1 species